CGAUAUCAUAUUUAGAUGACUGUGUGCAUCUCGGGCGAGUUUAGAGAUAUAGAAAACAAUUUUUUUGUCCGUUUUUCGAAAAAAACCGCACUGUAUUUACUUUUGGUCUCAGAGAAGAAAUCAUGAGUCAAUUUUUAGAUUAUUUUUUAUAAUUUAUUUUAUUUUGUAUAGUUUUUGAGUCGAAAUGUCAUGACGUAUGUAUAUUUUAACAC